rnacentral:lncRNA from 1 species
AAACUGUAUUCGUUCUGGUUAAAGAAGCAUGGUACAAAAAAAAAUGAAGGGAUUAAAAAGGCCAACAGAAAGACUAGACUGGAAACGAGGUUAGCAGCUGAAACUUCCAUCCACAGAAACGUUAGACGAAAUUGCUGGAGCUUUGGAGAAGUCCCCUCUUCCAGAUCAGUCUCUGUGUCAGGAAGCAUUUGAUAUAAAGAAUGCAUUUCAAUUAAUGGAAGGAGAAGAAACUCUCAAGUGUAUUGGAUGAGGGACAAACUGGACUGUUAACAUUUCAACUGAAGAAUUUACAAGGUAAUGUGCUGACAUCAUAACAAGGUUGGAGGGAGGCCCGUCUCACAAGAAUGUGGAAACCCAAUCAUCAUGCUUAUGAACCACAAAAGGAUCUAGAUACUGAUGUUCCUAUACACUUAUUUCUUAUGUCGAAUAGUGCAAUUCAAAUUCUAUUCUUGAAGCUUAAAGAUAACAUUGGAGCUGGCCCAAACUAGUAAAA